GUCUGACGGAGCACGCCGCGUGAGUGAUGAAGGUUUUCGGAUCGUAAAGCUCUGUUGUUAGGGAAGAACAAGUGCAAGAGUAACUGCUUGCACCUUGACGGUACCUAACCAGAAAGCCACGGCUAACUACGUGCCAGCAGCCGCGGUAAUACGUAGGUGGCAAGCGUUGUCCGGAAUUAUUGGGCGUAAAGGGCUCGCAGGCGGUUUCUUAAGUCUGAUGUGAAAGCCCCCGGCUCAACCGGGGAGGGUCAUUGGAAACUGGGAAACUUGAGUGCAGAAGAGGAGAGUGGAAUUCCACGUGUAGCGGUGAAAUGCGUAGAGAUGUGGAGGAACACCAGUGGCGAAGGCGACUCUCUGGUCUGUAACUGACGCUGAGGAGCGAAAGCGUGGGGAGCGAACAGGAUUAGAUACCCUGGUAGUCCACGCCGUAAACGAUGAGUGCUAAGUGUUAGGGGGUUUCCGCCCCUUAGUGCUGCAGCUAACGCAUUAAGCACUCCGCCUGGGGAGUACGGUCGCAAGACUGAAACUCAAAGGAAUUGACGGGGGCCCGCACAAGCGGUGGAGCAUGUGGUUUAAUUCGAAGCAACGCGAAGAACCUUACCAGGUCUUGACAUCCUCUGACAACCCUAGAGAUAGGGCUUUCCCUUCNGGG
rnacentral:rRNA from 1 species